rnacentral:misc_RNA from 2 species
AACGCACCUUGCGCUCCUUGGUAUUCCGAGGAGCAUGCCUGUUUGAGUGUCUUGAUAUCAUCAACCCUCGCCGUUUUGUGCGGUUGCGGGUUGGAGCUGGGGGCUUGCUGCCGAAACGCGGCUCCCCUCAAAUGCCUCGGUUGGGCCUGUGGGUCGGACUCGAUUGGGCGUUGUACCAUCCUCGCUCUAAUGAGAUGUUCCCCUUCUGUGCCCUUCCACGACCUGCCGUUCGAGUGGCGGUCAAGCUAACUUUGAAAUUUGGCCUCAAAUCAGGUAGGACUACCCGCUGAACUUAA